CACCGUUAUAGUGCAAUUACUGUAUUGUUUAGUGUUGUGUAGUGGCUUUGCUGGCAUGCACCCCACUUGUUUAUUUUUGCCCCACCAAGAUUUACAUGUUAAAAUCGCCACUGCUUAUACCUGUAUAUUGACAUCACCAUUGACUUUAUCUUGGUUGCUUGUUUGGUAGACCUCAAAUAAACGUAAUGUACAGUACAAAAAAGGAAGUCAUUUGUGUUGCUUGCCACAAAGCAGUAUCUGUUUAAUAUAUACAUUUACAAUAUGGUACAAUUUAUCUCAAUAAAAAUAAUGAGUAAAAAUAGUAUUCCAUUUGAAAUGAUCUUCUCUCGUACCCACUCCCUACCCCAGUCUGUCAUCUAUACAGAGUAUUCAGUAUGGUCAUUGUUACCGAAGAUUUUCUAAGUACUUCCUUCAAUUAAUACUUUCUCAUACAGCGUUCAAGCCAAGGCCAUAAAUUAAUUCUACAGCUAUCAAUGGUCCUAUUCAAUCAAAACCGUUAUGGGAUAUCUAGGGCAAUGCUAAUAUCCCUUUCAUAUAUAGACAAAAAUCACACUAUUUUACCAUGCCAGCUUUUUAUACAGUACAAGCUUUUUUUUGUCAAUCUGAAAGAGGUAAGGGUUAAAAAAAAACAUGGUAAUUUAAAACCCACCUAAAGACCUAGUCAUGAUUCCUGUAUUUUCACAGACCCUGUAACCAAAAUACAGCUAUCAGGUCUGUUAACAGUACGGUUCUCCGCUUCUUUGCAGGUAAAUUAAUUAACACUUCCAUUGUUUAACGGCACCCCCCUACCCUCCCAAUUUGUCAGUUACCCACUGAUAUGUAUAAAAGGGCAUACCUGCAAAUAAGUUGUAAAUAAGGGGCUGUUUGAAACAUUGCCUUAUCUUUUUUACAGAGCUAUAAUUUGUUUUAUGUGUUACUCUGGAAACUUGGCUACAGAUUAAAUACAACUCUUAGUUUUCAACAGUUGCCACUGGUCUUCAAAACAUUCAGUUCAUCUUUCCUCUUUUCCUCUUUACUACACUCAUCCCUCCCCUCCCCUCCCUCUAUCCCUUGUUUCUGCUGCCCUCCUCUACUACUCGUUCUUAAGGAUGACUUGCUUGAGCAGCGUGAUCAGGGGCUUGUGGGAUUGCUGGGCAUAUGGCUUCAUGAAGCCACCGUAGCGCUUGACAGCGGUUGGGCUACCCCAGCGGAAGUGACCCAUCCGAUAGGACCCAUCCUUCUUAUCCUGCAGCCCCGUCCCAGUGAGGGUUCUGGGGACUACCUUAGUCUGAGCCUUGGCCCCCUGGUUCCCCAGAGCUCCCGCCAUCUUGUCCUCCCAGCUGCUCAGCUGCCUGCGUGCCUGCAGGGGAAAGGUGCCCUCGGAGGAGUCCCCCCCUUCCAGACUGGAGGCAUAGACUUUGAUGGUGCGGCGUUUGCGCCCAAUGGGUUUGCCCCAGCGGAAGUGCUCCAUGGAGUAGGAGUGUCUUUUGUCGCUGUGGGACUCAGGGUCAGCAUCCAGGGCUCUCUCUCCAGAGGUCAGGGCUGCCAACAGGAUGCCCAGGGAGAGGCUGUCCUCAGUGGACUGCUGGGCAGCUGAUCUGGGCUCUGGGGAUUCAUCCUGGAGCCCAGACCUGAACAGGUGGAUGCACUCC
rnacentral:lncRNA from 1 species